AUUGAACGCUGGCGGCAGGCCUAACACAUGCAAGUCGAACGAGUCGCGGACGGGUGAGUAAUGUCGGGGAAACUGCCUGAUGGAGGGGGAUAACCACUGGAAACGGUAGCUAAUACCGCAUACCAUCGGAUUUCCCCAGAUGGGAUUAGCUAGUGGGUGGGGUAAAGGCCCACCCGGGCGACGAUCCCUAGCUGGUCUGAGAGGAUGACCGGCCAAACUGGAACUGAGAAACGGUCCGGACUCCUACGGGAGGCGGCGGUGGGGAAUAUUGGAAAAUGGGCGCAAGCCUGAUGCAGCCAUGCCGCGGGUAUGAGGAAGGCCUUCGGGUUGUAAAGUACUUUCAGCGGGGAGGCGUUACCCGCAGAGGAAGCACCGGCUAACUCCGUGCCAGCAGCCGCGGUAAUAC
rnacentral:rRNA from 1 species